CCUACGGGAGGCAGCAGUGGGGAAUAUUGGGCAAUGGGCGCAAGCCUGACCCAGCAACGCCGCGUGAAUGAAGAAGGCCCUCGGUUUGUAAACUUCUUUUAUCAGUGACGAUACAAAUGACGGUACCUAAUGAAUCAGCCGCUGCUAACUACGUGCCAGCCGCCGCAGUAAUCCGUCGGGGGCAAGCGUUAUCCGGUUUUACUGGGUGUAAAGGGAUUGGAGGCGGGAGAGGAAGACAGACGUGAAAUUCCAGGGCUCAACUCUGGAACUGCGUUUGAAAAUGUUCUUCUUGAAUGACAGAGAGGAAGGUGGAAUACCGUGGGGAGAGGUGAAAUGCGUAGAUAUACGGAGGAACACCAGUGGCGAAGGCGGCCAGCUGGAUAUUAACUGACGCUGAGGCGCGAAAGCGUGGGGAGCAAACAGGAUUAGAUACCCGAGUAGUC
rnacentral:rRNA from 1 species